rnacentral:rRNA from 1 species
CUUUCUCCGCCGGCGACCGGCGCACGGGUGAGUAACACGUACGCAACCUGCCCCUGUCAGGGGGACAACCCGCCGAAAGGCGGGCUAAACCCGCGUACAUGCCACCGGGGCAUCCCGGAGGCAGGAAAGGCUUCGGCCGGACAGGGAUGGGCAUGCGGCGCAUUAGGCAGUAGGCGGGGUAACGGCCCACCUAACCGACGAUGCGUAGGGGUUCUGAGAGGAAGGUCCCCCCACACUGGUACUGAGACACGGACCAGACUCCUACGGGAGGCAGCAG